GAUGAACGCUGGCGGCGUGCCUAAUACAUGCAAGUCGAGCGAACGGACGAGAAGCUUGCUUCUCUGAUGUUAGCGGCGGACGGGUGAGUAACACGUGGAUAACCUACCUAUAAGACUGGGAUAACUUCGGGAAACCGGAGCUAAUACCGGAUAAUAUUUUGAACCGCAUGGUUCAAAAGUGAAAGACGGUCUUGCUGUCACUUAUAGAUGGAUCCGCGCUGCAUUAGCUAGUUGGUAAGGUAACGGCUUACCAAGGCAACGAUGCAUAGCCGACCUGAGAGGGUGAUCGGCCACACUGGAACUGAGACACGGUCCAGACUCCUACGGGAGGCAGCAGUAGGGAAUCUUCCGCAAUGGGCGAAAGCCUGACGGAGCAACGCCGCGUGAGUGAUGAAGGUCUUCGGAUCGUAAAACUCUGCUAUUAGGGAAGAACAUAUGUGUAAGUAACUGUGCACAUCUUGACGGUACCUAAUCAGAAAGUCACGGCUAACUACGUG
rnacentral:rRNA from 1 species